UACGUAGGGGGCAAGCGUUGUCCGGAUUUAUUGGGCGUAAAGAGCUCGUAGGCGGUUCCGUAAGUCGUGAAGUCAAAUCUCUGGGCUCAACCCAGAAUCGCUUCCGAUACUGCGGUGACUGGAGUCCGGUAGGGGAGUGUGGAAUUCCUGGUGUAGCGGUGAAAUGCGCAGAUAUCAGGAGGAGCACCAACAGCGAAGGCAGCACUCUGGGCCGGUACUGACGCUGAGGAGCGAAAGCAUGGGGAGCGAACAGG
rnacentral:rRNA from 1 species